rnacentral:rRNA from 1 species
CGUAAGCGUGCGCAGGCGGUUUGUAAGACUGUCGUGAAAUCCCCGGGCUCAACCUGGGAAUGGCGAUGGUGACUGCAAGGCUAGAGUUUGGCAGAGGGGGGUAGAAUUCCACGUGUAGCAGUGAAAUGCGUAGAUAUGUGGAGGAACACCGAUGGCGAAGGCAGCCCCCUGGGUCAAAACUGACGCUCAUGCACGAAAGCGUGGGAGCAAACAGGAUUAGAUACCCUGGU